rnacentral:tRNA from 1 species
UCCCAGGUGGCUCAGCGGUAAAGUAUCUGCCUGCCAAGCAGGAGACAAAGGUUCAAUCCCUGGGUC